CCUGGCGCAGGGCGUGGCGCGGGGGGGCACGGGCCCCGGCGGUCGCGGGGUUGGCGUGGCGCGAUGCUCCCGCCGGGGCCAGCGCGCGCCACCAUGCUCCCGGCCCGCGGGACCCCCGGCGCCACGCCACCGCCCGGGUGCGGGGCCGCGCCGGCGGAAGAGCAACCGGACCUGUCCCGAAGGGCCAUUCGUGCCUGUAUUGAGCACUGAUCUUCAGCAGUGGUGCCCUUUCAGAAGGUGGUGGACACUCAGGAGGUAGAACCUGGAUGAAUUCAGAAGUGGGUUUCUUGAAAUAGAACUUUAAAGAUGGAAAAGAAUAGCAGAGACACGGAUGGACAAUGUAAGGACACUGGGGAACUAUGAAAGGGAUGGACAGCAUUCUCACGUGGCAACAGUGGUCUGAAGCUUGGUGGCUCAGUUUACUUUUAGGUCAAGCUGAAUCUCUACAUCACUAAGAGAUUCCUUGAUGGAAGUGAGAGAUGGCCAAGUGGGAAGAAAGUGGAACCAAUGGGAAAGCCUUCACUACAUAGCAUCAUUGGCUUUGGAAUUAACAGCUUCAGAUGCCAAACAUGGAUGAAAUGCUGACUUUGAGCAACUGUUUGGAUCAGCAGGUGUGACAAAACUCCUGAAAAAGCAGCUUCAUAAAGAAAGGUUUUCUUUUGGCUUUUAGUUUCUUCGUUUCGGAGAAUGUAUGGCAGAAUGGCUCAGGCUGUGGGUCCUACCUUGGACAGAUACCACCACAUUGAGGAACAGGUCUUCAGUAAAUCAACCCUGGGAAGACAAACUACAUUUAAAUCAUUUCAAGGGGCCAGCAAUAUGACUCAACAGAUAAAGACAGUGUGAAGCCUGGUGACCUGAGUUCAAGCCCCUGGCAUCCACAUGGUAGAAAGAAAAAGCUGACUCUGAAGGCUGUACUCCUCUGACCACCACAUACAUGCUGUGGUAUACCUUAUACUCCCUCCCAUGAAUAAAUAAAUGAAAACAUUAAACCACUUCCAAACCAUUACACUUGCUCAACCUGAACACCCAGGAUAUGGUUGUAGACACUAAGCAUUAAAAAUUCUCAGUUACAAUGUGGGGAGUGCUAAGUUAGUGGGCCAGGUGACCGUCUAAAGCACCUCAUAUGAUCCUAGCAUUGUGGCGGGUACUCUUAGUCAGUGGAGUUUUAUCACAACCAUCAUCUGCAUGCAUGCAAGUCAGCUCAAUUUCUGUAUAGCCUCUUGGUGGUGUACCAAUUCUGCCUUUUUCUUGUCUGUGGCCUGGGGAAAUGGCAAUUCCAACUUCCUAAGGCAGUAUCUUGGGAUUCAUGGAGUGUAGGUCUAUGUGAUUCUCAAUGUACCUACCUACCAUCCGUCAGUAAGUGAUGGGGAAUAUUAUGAUCUGUUCUCAUUAAAAUUCAUGUUGAAACUUAAUACCAGAUGGAAGAAAAGCCAGCAGACAUCCAUAUCCGCAUUCUACACCUCCUGGCCUGUGAUGAUAUGAGCUUCUCUGCUCUGCCAUGCACUGCCUGCCAUGAUGGACUGAGCCCUCUGAGGUCAUGAAAAAAGGAUGGACUGAGCCCUCUGAGGUCAUGAAAGAAGACACAAGGCUGACACCUUCUACUGAGGACUAUGGAAUUAGUCAGGAACCAACACAGCCUGGAGGAGCAAUGCCUAUAGGAUCACACUAUCCAUGAGCAAAGAAAGAUUGCAAGAACUUCAAAAAGAACCCAGAACAAGACAGAGAACACACUGUUCCAAGCCAUGGAGUAGUAGAGAAAGGUUUCCCAGUAUGUGCUCUACAGACUGGCAGCAUCCACACCUCUUUUUUUUUGGUGGUAGAGCAUAAAUACUCUCUACUACCACAAAUUAUGCAGCCGACUUUCCUGCAUUUGGAGAAAUCAUGGGUUAGCAUCCCUGGAGUGCAAUGGAUGAGCCUCACCUUAGGAAAAUCACCCUCAUGAUCAUGAGAUCUCCCCUGCCAGGAGGAUCAUCAGCAUGGUGUAAAGCUAACCAUGGUCCUGGGAGUCAGACUGCCUGGGCUCAACAUGACUUUGUGUUUCCAGCGGAUUCAUUCACCUUAGUUCUAACCUGGCACCGAAGUCCUUGGAAACUCCUGGAGAAUCAUUGGUCUUCUUCUGUGCAUUCUGGAAAGCCAAAGGAGAUGGUAUCUGAUGUCAGCAGAGAACGACAGUGACAGCAACAGAGAAAGAUGCUCAGGAAGAAGGCGGCAGGCAUGCAGGCAGUGCUGAUUAUGUGGGAGCCACAGGUGUAUGUGAUGUGACCUGCUGCUUCAAACUCCUGCUACUAUGGCUUCCCUGCUGUGAUGGUUUGCAACUUAAACUACUCAUCACCAACUGUAAUGGAUUUUCUACUUACAGCUUCUCUCCUGCAUGAUGCUGAAGAGCAGGUGCCUUGUCUGUCUUCUUUGUGCCUUGUGAGCACUUGCUGGGACAGAGUGGACACUUAACUGAGAUCUGUGGAUGAAUGAUAAAGCAGUAGUGUGGAUACUCUAGGAGCAUCUUGCUCAACAGUCUCUUUUGGAUCCUCAUAAAGUGGGUAUCCAAGUCCAUGGAAUGGAACGGCUCACAUUUAUGAUGGAUCUUCACCUCAAUCAGCCUAACCUAGAUGAUCCCCUACAGACAACUCAUUUCAAUGAACCUUUCUCACAGCUUUCCUUGGGAAGAGAGAUGUCCAGCAGCAGCAAGUUCAAGCUCAAAGGAAAUAAAAAGAUUUGGCCAUGCUACAGGCAUCUGUGAUAGAAGACCAGGUAAAAGGACAUGGGGAUUAAAGAGGAGACCCCAUUUGUGGAUUGCUGCUCUGAGAGUCUGUGCUACUGGUCUUAUAUUCAAGAAGUUGUCUCCUAUGCCAAUGUGUUCAAGGCUUCUUCUUACUUUGUCUUCUACCAGACUCCUGCUGAUGGUGAAGGGCUGAGUUUGGUUAUGAGAACUCGUCAGGACAGCCACUACUGGCAGUGGCCAUGCCAAUAUUGUGGGCUGGGGUUCCCAUGUACAAGACAGGUGCUGUUCAGAUACAGCCACAAUCACAAUCAAGUUUGUUGUGGCCAGAAAUAUGUAAAAGAGUCUCAAACUAAGAACUCUGUCACUUCACAGAAACAAGAGACUUCAUCCAGUAGCUGUUCGAAGCAGAAACAGGCACCCACAGCUAAGCACUGAACCAUACUCCUGGAAUCCAGUUGUGGAGACGGAGGACAGAUGAGCAAAGGAGCCAAAACAGUGCUGCAGAAACCCGCAGAAACAGUUGACCUGACCUAGUGAGAGCAUGGAGACACUAGUCAUAAAACUGCAGAAACAGCAUUGGACCGAACCAAGCCCUCUGAAUGUGGGUGCCAGCUAGGUAGCCAAGUCAGUCUAUGGGACCUCUAACAGUGGAGCCAGUCUUUAACCCUAGAGCACAAAUGGACUUUGGGAGCCCAUUCCCUAUGGAGGGAUACUAUUGUAGCUCAGAUACAGCAAGGAAGGCCUAGGCCCUCCCCCAAACAAUACGACAGACUUUGAAGGUCCCUGGUAGAGGACCUCACUAUCCCUGGGGAGGAGUUGGGG
rnacentral:lncRNA from 1 species